rnacentral:rRNA from 1 species
CCCGCCCCCGCCCCCGCCCCCGCCGGGAAAGAGAAGCGAAGACAAGAGUAUAUGCCAUGUUAUCCCCUCGCGUCGUCAGGCCGCAGCCCCACGACGGCGCGGCCUCCGCCGGCUCCUCCUCGUCGCGGCGCCACAUGGUGGACCGCGUGUCCGAGUGGGAGCUCGGCCUCCCCUCGCCCGCCGAGCUGACGCCCGUCUCGCAGCCGCUCAUCCCGCCGGCCCUCGCCGCGGCCUUCGGGAUCGGCCCCGCGGACGCGCUCGCCUCCCCCGCCGACGCCGCCGGCUUCCUCCACGACUCGCCCACCUCCCACCUGGCCCCCAGGUUCGACGAGUACGACGAGGAGGACGAGGAGGAGGGCGAGGGCGAGGACGAGGAGGCCGCCGCCCCCGGGGGCCGGAGGGGCGGCGGGAAGAAGGCGCGGAUGGUGUGGACGCCGGAGCUGCACCACCGGUUCGUCGAGGCCGUCGAGCACCUCGGCGAGAAGGGCGCCGUGCCCAAGGCCAUCGUGCGCCUCAUGAACGUCGACGGCCUCACGCGGGAGAACGUCGCCAGCCACCUCCAGAAGUACCGCCUCUACCUCAAGCGCUCCAGCCCCGGCGCCGCCGCGCCCUCCCCGCCGCCGCCGCCCUUCUUUCCCCGCUUCGACGUCCAGCGACCGCAUCAGGGCUCCGCCAACCGGGGCGGCUACUGCGCGUAUCCGUACGUUUCCUACCAGAAGCUGGGAUGCGAUUAAGCGCAGUAAGCUCGAUCAAUGCUAUUUCCCCGCGGGUUCCCCGCACUGGAAAUCGUUUUGAAUUUUGUCUUCCAUAGAAAACAAAUGGCAAACACGAACAGUGUAUGAGAUUCAGACUUUUGAAUCCACCCUGUCGUUUGAAAAACGGAGUCUCCUAUACAUGUACUGCCAUCGAAAGACCCUGGCGGCAAACAUUUGAGGCACAGGUACAAUCCAUUUUCAUACACCAACUGAACCCAGAACCUAAAGCUGCCAGGCUAAGUUUGCAAUUUCUUUACUAGAUUAUUGUAUAGAGUAGCAUGUUUUUGCUUCGUUCUUUGGUUGUUUAUAAAUCAAAAGCUUGUAUGUCCGACAGACGUGUGAUUCGUUGUUGCUAUAAUCAAAAGGUUAUGUGUGUACAUGGCGAAAUUUUGUGCCUAUUUUCAGUAAUGCGGUUGGGAGAUACUGGAAGGAACUUGAAGACCACACCAGCUUCUCUUCAGUUCACCGAGGCAACUUCAGCUGCCUAGUUAGUUCCAAUAACUAGUUCUGAAUGGCUGUUGGAGUUUUCUGCAUUCAUCUUUGCUGGAGUCGAUUUGGAUUGGGUACUUGCAGUUGCGACCUUUGCACCAAUUUGAUCUCGAGAUCGAUUUAUUGUUUUGAUGAGGAACUGAUGCUUUUUUACGAUGUCAAUUUUUGUGCAGGCAAAAUCGAUUUCUCCUUACAAACAUACAUGUACUGUCACAUACUAAUUAACAAGCAUACAAUACAAGGAUGUACCAUGUCGAUUCUGUGGUUUGGAGUUUAUGACUAAAUCUGAAUCUAGUACUGUCUUCCAGAUUCAUGGAGGUAGCCAGGGCAGAACGUCCGACCUUCCUUCUUAUCUUUUGUUCUCGAAGUUCAGUUACUACUAAACUUUUGUCCCGAUGUUUUUUUUGGAGCAAAAGAGGGUUUCCCCUCCGAUUUCUAUUAAAGAAACCACCACAACCAACAUAUUCGAGUACAACAUCAAGCUACAAUAACUGCCAGUUUUAGCGACAUCUAAGGAUUGAACAAUGAUCAGAACCGGG